rfam:Ricinus communis cultivar Hale ctg_1100012360637, whole genome shotgun sequence.
AUACUUACCUGGGCGGGGUCAAUGGUUGAUCAACAACGAUCAUGGCCUAGAUCAGUGACCUCCAUUGCACAUAAAGGAGGGGUGCUGGUCUAAGGUCUCCCCAAGUUGGGAGAGCCUACGUCAUAAUUUGUGGUAGAGGGGGCCUGCGUUCGCGCGGCCCCUGU